UGGGUUAGGGUUAUACCCAUGGGUUAUACCCACAGCAUAUCAUCCAUAAGAGAUUAUAACCAUAGCAUAUCAUCCAUAAGAGGUUAUAACCAUAGCCUUUAAUCUAUAACAGGUUAUAACCACAGCCUUUAAUCUAUAACAGGUUAUAACCACAGCCUUUAAUCUAUAACAGGUUAUAACCAUAGCCUUUAAUCUAUAACAGGUUAUAACCAUAGCCUUUAAUCUAUAACAGGUUAUAACCAUAGCCUUUAAUCUAUAACAGGUUAUAACCAUAGCCUUUAAUCCAUAACAGGUUAUAACCACAGCCUUUAAUCUAUAACAGGUUAUAACCACAGCCUUUAAUCUAUAACAGGUUAUAACCACAGCCUUUAAUCUAUAACAGGUUAUAACCAUAGCCUUUAAUCUAUAACAGGUUAUAACCAUAGCCUUUAAUCUAUAACAGGUUAUAACCAUAGCCUUUAAUCUAUAACAGGUUAUAACCAUAGCCUUUAAUCUAUAACAGGUUAUAACCAUAGCCUUUAAUCCAUAACAGGUUAUAACCAUAGCCUUUAAUCUAUAACAGGUUAUAACCAUAGCCUUUAAUCUAUAACAGGUUAUAACCAUAGCCUUUAAUCUAUAACAGGUUAUAACCAUAGCCUUUAAUCUAUAACAGGUUAUAACCAUAGCCUUUAAUCUAUAACAGGUUAUAACCAUAGCCUUUAAUCUAUAACAGGUUAUAACCAUAGCCUUUAAUCUAUAACAGGUUAUAACCAUAGCCUUUAAUCCAUAACAGGUGUUGAAGGCCACAUUCGUUGGGUGGUUGGGUGCUCCAACCCUUUUAAUGGCACAGUGAUCUCUCAUUAGUAAAACCCAAUAUCCCAUUAUCUCACAGACACACCGGCUCUCUCGUCAGCACAUUUGGCUAAAUGAAGGUCACCUUAAGAGGAGUCCCAAAAGGGUACCCAAAAGUAGUACACUACAUAGGGAACAGGGUGUAAUUUGGGACUCAAGCCUUGAAUCCCUCUAUGUUUACAACCAGUACACAGAGGCCCUUUCUUGUCCUGUCCUGCCUGGGAAAAGUCUCAGAGCACAGCUAGCUAUCGCAAACUAUUUGGUCUUUCAAAUUUCGACUAACUUUCAACUUGAAAUUUGACUUGUUAUUCAAAUAUAUGGACAAUGUAGACAGUUUGUCUGUGUUGUUGGUCAUGAUACGUG